GUGGCUCAUGGAAGCUAAGAAAAGUGUUUUCAGAACGGGGAGAGAACUGAAAAACAACUGUUUGACUUGGCAACCCCACAGCCCUUGGCGGUCCUGGGACAUAAUGCUCUCCAUGAAGCCACUGGGGUGAAGGCGGCUUGGAAUGCAUUGAGGUAUGGGCAGGUGUGAGAGACAACAAAUAGAGACAACGCUAGGUGGGUCCCAUGUAAUCACAGGGAUCUGUAGAAGUGGACAAGAGAUUCAGAAGGAUGGGAGAUGGCCGCAUGAGGAAGAUGCAGCCUGACACUGCUGACUGGAAAAAGGGGCCGUGAGCCAGGGCGUGACGGUGGCUUUCCUCCAGAAGCUGGCAGAGAUGAGACAAAGGACUCUUGCCCAGAGCCUCCAGAAGGAGUGCAGCCCUGGUGACACCUUGAUUUCAGCAUAGUGAGACUUGUUUUGGAUUUCUGACCUCUGGGACUGUAAGGUGAUAAACGUGUGCUGUUUUGAGGCCCAAAUUUGUAGUUAGUUGUUGUAGCAGCAACAGGAAAUUAGUUCAGGGACUCUGCUACCCACCUAGAGAGCCUGACUUUGUCCGGAGCCCACUCCCCUGUCUCUGUCGCCCUGUGCUCAGUGUCCUGAUUGCCCUGAAACUGGGUGCCCACCCUCAGGGCAGUCCCGCCCAUCUCCUUUGCCCUUCAUCUGCCUCUGGCUCCUUCCCCAGCGCACCAGCGGCCGUCCCUCCUGCUGAGGAGUCUCCAGAGGAGCAGCGUUGCUCAGAGUGUGAGUGUGGACCGGAGCAUCUGGCUCUCCAUACCAGUGGAGCUGUGUAUGUUGUAGCUUCGUCGUUAAUAUUGCUUACACGUUUUGUAGAUGUUCUAUGUCUUUUAAUAAUAUGCAGAAUAAACCUCAGAA
rnacentral:lncRNA from 10 species